UACGUAGGGGGCAAGCGUUGUCCGGAUUUAUUGGGCGUAAAGAGCUCGUAGGCGGUUUGGUAAGUCUGGUGUGAAAUCUCCACGCUCAACGUGGAGGGGCCACCCGAUACUGCCAUGACUGGAGUCCGGUAGAGGAGUGUGGAAUUCCCGGUGUAGCGGUGAAAUGCGCAGAUAUCGGGAGGAACACCGGUGGCGAAGGCGACAUCCUGGACCAACACUGACGCUGAGGAGCGAAAGCCAGGGGAGCAAACGGG
rnacentral:rRNA from 1 species